rnacentral:rRNA from 1 species
UACGGAGGGUGCGAGCGUUGUCCGGAAUCAUUGGGCGUAAAGGGCGCGUAGGUGGCGGGACAAGCGUGCGGUGAAAGCUCGGGGCUCAACCCCGAGUCGGCCGUGCGAACUGUCUUGCUUGAGCACUGUAGAGGCAGGCGGAAUUCCGGGUAUAGCGGUGGAAUGCGUAGAGAUCCGGAAGAACACCGGUGGCGAAGGCGGCCUGCUGGGCAGUUGCUGACACUGAGGCGCGACAGCGUGGGGAGCAAACAGG